rnacentral:rRNA from 1 species
GAAUAUUGGACAAUGGGCGAAAGCCUGAUCCAGCCAUGCCGCGUGAGUGAUGAAGGCCCUCGGGUCGUAAAGCUCUUUGGGGAGGGACGAAACCUACGCCGUUAAUAGCGUCGGAGUUGACGGUACCUCCUUAGCAAGCACCGGCUAACCCCGUGCCAGCCGCCGCGGUAACACGGAGGGUGCAAACGUUGCUCGGAAUCAUUGGGCGUAAAGCGCACGUAGGCGGACUGGUGUGUCGGAUGUGAAAGCCCUCGGCUCAACCGAGGAAGUGCAUUCGAAACUGCCAGUAUUGAGUACGGGAGAGGAUCGCGGAAUUCCCGGUGUAGAGGUGAAAUUCGUAGAUAUCGGGAGGAACACCAGUGGCGAAGGCGGCGAUCUGGACCGAUACUGACGCUGAGGUGCGAAAGCGUGGGGAGCAAACAGG